rnacentral:rRNA from 1 species
UACGUAGGGGGCGAGCGUUGUCCGGAUUUAUUGGGCGUAAAGAGCGUGUAGGCGGCCAGGUAGGUCUGCUGUGAAAACUCGAGGCUCAACCUCGAGACGUCGGCGGAAACCAUCUGGCUAGAGUCCGGAAGAGGAGAGUGGAAUUCCGUGGUGUAGCGGUGAAAUGCGCAGAUAUCUGGAGGAACACCGGUGGCGAAGGCGGCAUCCUGGACCGGCAUUGACGCUGAGACGCGAAAGCGUGGGGAGCGAACAGG